GAUGAACGCUGGCGGCGUGCCUAAUACAUGCAAGUCGAGCGAACGGACGAGAAGCUUGCUUCUCCGAUGUUAGCGGCGGACGGGUGAGUAACACGUGGAUAACCUACCUAUAAGACUGGGAUAACUUCGGGAAACCGGAGCUAAUACCGGAUAAUAUUUUGAACCGCAUGGUUCAAAAGUGAAAGACGGUCUUGCUGUCACUUAUAGAUGGAUCCGCGCUGCAUUAGCUAGUUGGUAAGGUAACGGCUUACCAAGGCAACGAUGCAUAGCCGACCUGAGAGGGUGAUCGGCCACACUGGAACUGAGACACGGUCCAGACUCCUACGGGAGGCAGCAGUAGGGAAUCUUCCGCAAUGGGCGAAAGCCUGACGGAGCAACGCCGCGUGAGUGAUGAAGGUCUUCGGAUCGUAAAACUCUGUUAUUAGGGAAGAACAUAUGUGUAAGUAACUGUGCACAUCUUGACGGUACCUAAUCAGAAAGCCACGGCUAACUACGUGCCAGCAGCCGCGGUAAUACGUAGGUGGCAAGCGUUAUCCGGAAUUAUUGGGCGUAAAGCGCGCGUAGGCGGUUUUUUAAGUCUGAUGUGAAAGCCCACGGCUCAACCGUGGAGGGUCAUUGGAAACUGGAAAACUUGAGUGCAGAAGAGAAAAGUGGAAUUCCAUGUGUAGCGGUGAAAUGCGCAGAGAUAUGGAGGAACACCAGUGGCGAAGGCGACUUUCUGGUCUGUAACUGACGCUGAUGUGCGAAAGCGUGGGGAUCAAACAGGAUUAGAUACCCUGGUAGUCCACGCCGUAAACGAUGAGUGCUAAGUGUUAGGGGGUUUCCGCCCCUUAGUGCUGCAGCUAACGCAUUAAGCACUCCGCCUGGGGAGUACGACCGCAAGGUUGAAACUCAAAGGAAUUGACGGGGACCCGCACAAGCGGUGGAGCAUGUGGUUUAAUUCGAAGCAACGCGAAGAACCUUACCAAAUCUUGACAUCCUUUGACAACUCUAGAGAUAGAGCCUUCCCCUUCGGGGGACAAAGUGACAGGUGGUGCAUGGUUGUCGUCAGCUCGUGUCGUGAGAUGUUGGGUUAAGUCCCGCAACGAGCGCAACCCUUAAGCUUAGUUGCCAUCAUUAAGUUGGGCACUCUAAGUUGACUGCCGGUGACAAACCGGAGGAAGGUGGGGAUGACGUCAAAUCAUCAUGCCCCUUAUGAUUUGGGCUACACACGUGCUACAAUGGACAAUACAAAGGGCAGCGAAACCGCGAGGUCAAGCAAAUCCCAUAAAGUUGUUCUCAGUUCGGAUUGUAGUCUGCAACUCGACUACAUGAAGCUGGAAUCGCUAGUAAUCGUAGAUCAGCAUGCUACGGUGAAUACGUUCCCGGGUCU
rnacentral:rRNA from 1 species